rnacentral:tRNA from 1 species
AGGGUUGUGGCUCAGAGGUAGAGCACUCACCUAGCAUGUGUGAGGCACUGGGUUUGAUCCUCAGCACCACAU